UGGAAAACUGCAUAAAAAUAUCCAUUUUGAACACCCUCCUCCUCUUCUCCGGAAGUAGACUGGAAUCUUGUAUUUCUUCACAGCAAGUGUAUCGCAAUUGUAAAAAAGAAAACAGAGUGCUGGAAGGGAACUUCAAGUCACAGAUGCCAAACCCUUAUUGUUCAGAUGAAGAUAAUGAGGAUCUCCGUCACUCCUACCCCUGAUUCCAUCUGCAAUUUGACUGAACUCAAAGAAGAGACUGUGCAAGGGGACUGGAAAUGGAAAGGGUAAUCAAGGUCAUGGCUUUCAGGCUUCCUUCAGAUUCUACAGCUACCGUGAAGAAAGCUGCAUUCCCACGAGAACAUGUCAGCCUGGAAGAAAAGUAUGACAAAGGGUCUCCAGGAAGCCCUCUGACACUUGGAUCUUAUCUCAUUCCAUAAGCGAAAGACCGGUUCUCUAAACCAAAGAACGAUGCAAAGUAUGUCUUUAUCAAGCAUUGUUUUCGCAUUACUCCCCUGUGUAGGAUGGGACAAUCACUCCAUUGUCUCUUUAAACAAUUUUUAAAUAUUCUUGAAUUUUGGCUUAGAAAUUGUCAUUUGAGAUGACUUUGACCCCUUGGACUACUAGCUCAUAUUUUUUUACUUCAGCCUGGCAAAAGUUAUUGUCCCUCAUAAAACUUUACCCUCUCUCUCUUCUAAGCCAUCACAUAAAACUUUCCUUCUGAUUAUACAUACCCCUUCUCAAGUCAUAUCCAUUACUCUGUCAACUUCCCAUGGAGGUUAAUCUGCUAGUGAGAAUUUAAGUGAACUCUCGGAGCAGAGAUAUUCUCACAGAGCAUGGAGCCUGGACUCUGAAGUCAUCCAGUGCAAGUUCAAAUCCCAGUUCUUCCAUUUUCUAAUUGCCACACUGGUAAAACUAAUCCUUCUAAACCAUUGUUUCCUUGCUUGGAAAAUGAAUAUAAAAAUAAUAUUAUUAGCAUAAUGUUUGUUCUGAUUAAAUGAAGAUUAUGAAGAUAUACUCCUC